rnacentral:lncRNA from 1 species
UUAUCAAGUAAAAAAAAAUAUGGACAAUUGCUUAUAUACUGUUGAAUAGGGAUUUCAAUAGAUAUGCGAAAUUUAAUCUGAAUUCAAAUCUUAAUAGAGCGAAUUUAUUUGAUACUAGAGGAAUAUGAUUUCAAAUAUAGGUAUAAAAAAUAAAAACAAGACAGAUAUGGAGUUGGAUAUGGAUUUUGACUGUAUCAUAUCCGAAUCCGAACUCGACUCAAGCUCGAAUUUAUUUUACAUUAUAUAUAAUAUGUAUAUAAAAAUUGAAUUUAUAUUUUAAAAUUUUAGAUUUUAUGUAAUAUAUUUUGAAAUAUUGGAAAGAGAAAUGAUUGUUUCGGGUUCGAAUUUUCGGGUUUAAGUUCAGGUUCAAGUUUCGAAUUUUUAGUCGGGUUCGGAUUUGGAGGUCGGGUUCGGGUUUUGGGUUUGGAGUCGGGUUUGGAUUCGUAUUUUGAAAAUCCACCACGAACCCGAUCCGUUGACAUCUUUACUUCUGAAAUAUUUUCGAUUUAUUUAUUUAUUCUUCUUAGAAGGUUAAUAUUAAAAAUACGUUUUUAACAUUUCCGAUUAUUUCAGUACAUUAUUUCUGCAAAAUUACUAUUUUGUCCCUUAUUUGUCAUUAAGUUAGGGGUGAAAGAAGUAUUUUUAUUCUUUUAUUUUUCAAAUAUACUAUUCUAUCAUCACUGAACUUUUUUUAUUUACUCUUAAGUUAGGGUAAAAGAGUUAACUUUUUUAACUCCAGUGGAAAUUUAACCUGAAUUUACUCCGAGAAAACUUAACGGAUAUUAACAACGAGAUAUUUUUGAAUAAAAGAAAAAUAUAUAAGAGACAUAUUUAAAAUAAAAAUAGAUAGAAUACAUUAGGUAUUUCAUAAAUUUUUAUUGGUAUAUUAGAUAUUAGAUAUUAUC